AUCUGCAACAUUUUGGGAAAAGACAGCU
rnacentral:piRNA from 1 species